GGUGCGUUAGUUCAGUUGGUUAGAAUGCCUGCCUGUCACGCAGGAGGUC
rnacentral:tRNA from 1 species